rnacentral:rRNA from 1 species
GUUUGAUUCUGGCUCGAUUGAACGCUGGCGGGAUGCUUUACAUGCAAGUCAGGCAGCAGCACGGACUUCGGUCUGGUGGCGAGUGGCGAACGGGUGAGUAAUGUAUCGGAACGUGCCUAGUAGCGGGGGAUAACUACGCGAAAGCGUAGCUAAUACCACAUACGCCCUUCGGGGAAAGCGGGGACCUUCGGGCCUCACGCACUAUUAAACAGCCGAUAUCGGAUUAGCUAGUUGGUGGGGUAACGGCUCACCAAGGCGAUCCGUAGCUGGUUUGAAGGGACGACAGCCACACUGGGACUGAGACACGGCCCAGACUCCUACAGGAGGCAGCAGUGGGAAUUUUGGACAAUGGGGAAACCCUGAUCCAGCCAUCCCGCGUGCGAUAGAAGGCCUUCGGGUUGUAAAGCACUUUUGGCAGGAAAGAAACGGCACGGGAUAAUACCCCGUGCAACUGACGGUACCUGCAGAACGAUAACUUCGUGCCAGCAUGCGGUAAAUACCGUAAGGUGCAAACCGUUAAUCAGAUUACUUUAGGCAAUAAACAUUGCAGGUGGUUCAGAAGAAGAUGCGGUGAAAUCCAGAACAACUUUGGAACUUUCGCGCAUUUUAACUGCUGACAGUGAUGACGAAGGUAGGAAUUCGCGCAGCGGGAAAUGCGUAGAUAUGCAGAGGAAGCACCGGCGCAGGCGAAGCCUAGGAUCUUAUGACGCAUCAUGCACGAAAGCAGUAGGGGAGACAAACAGGAUUAGAUACUGUUGAGUCACGCCCACAAGCUUGAUGUCAACUAGCUGUUGGGGCCUUCGGGCCUUGGUAGCGCAACUAACGCGUGAAAGUUGACCGCCUGGGAAGUACGGUCGCAAGAUUAAAACUCAAAGGAAUUGACGGGGACCCGCACAAGCGGUGGAUGAUGUGGAUUAAUUCGAUGCGCGAAAACCUUACCUACCCUUGACAUGUCUGGAAUCCCGAAGAGAUUUGGGAGUGCUCGCAAGAGAACCGGAACACAGGUGCUGCAUGGCUGUCGUCAGCUCGUGUCGUGAGAUGUUGGGUUAAGUCCCGCAACGAGCGCAACCCUUGUCGUGCUGGUGCUACGAAAGAGGCACUCUAAUGAGACUGCCGUGACAAACCGGAGGAAGGUGGGGAUGACGUCAAGUCCUCAUGGCCCUUAUGGGUAGGGCUUCACACGUCAUACAAUGGUCGGGACAGAGGGUCGCCAGCCCGCGAGGAGCCAAUCCCAGAAACCCGAUCGUAGUCCGGAUCGCAGUCUGCAACUCGACUGCGUGAAGUCGGAAUCGCUAGUAAUCGCGGAUCAGCAUGUCGCGGUGAAUACGUUCCACGGGUCUUGUACACACCGCCCGUCACACCAUGGGAGUGGGUUUUUGCAGAAGUAGUUAGCCUAACCGUAAGGAGGGCGAUUACCACAGUAGGAUUCAUGACUGGGGUGAAGUCGUAACAAAGGUAA